GACAGAGGGGGCAAGCGUUGCUCGGAAUUACUGGGCGUAAAGGGCGCGUAGGCGGCGCGGUAAGUCACUUGUGAAAUCUCUGAGCUUAACUCAGAACGGCCAAGUGAUACUGCAGUGCUAGAGUGUGGAAGGGGCAAUCGGAAUUCUUGGUGUAGCGGUGAAAUUCGUAGAUAUUGGGAAGAACACCGAUGGCGAAGGCAGCCAUCUGGACCGACACUGACGCUGAGGCGCGAAAGCGUGGGGAGCAAACAGG
rnacentral:rRNA from 1 species